CCUUGGAACAGGACGUCAUAGAGGGUGAGAAUCCCGUAUGUGACUGGACAGGCACCCUUUGUAAAGCUCCUUCGACGAGUCGAGUUGUUUGGGAAUGCAGCUCUAAAUGGGAGGUAAAUUUCUUCUAAAGCUAAAUACCGGCCAGAGACCGAUAGCGCACAAGUAGAGUGAUCGAAAGAUGAAAAGCACUUUGGAAAGAGAGUUAAAAAGCACGUGAAAUUGUUGAAAGGGAAGGGCUUGCAAUUAGACUUGCCCGCAGUUGUUCAGCUGGUCUUCUGACCGGUUUAUUCUUCUGCGGGCAGGCCAGCAUCAGUUUCGGCGGCCGGAUAAAGGCUCUGGGAAUGUGGCUGUCCUUCGGGGCAGUGUUAUAGCCCAGGGUGUA
rnacentral:rRNA from 1 species